CGCACACGCUAGGGGUGUUGACCAGCGGCGCUUGCCGCCCGGCCGACUGAGAAAGUCCCUUUGAACCUGAUUGAGGUAAUCCUCGCGCAGGGAAGCCAGUCUAACUUGGG
rnacentral:ncRNA from 1 species